rnacentral:tRNA from 1 species
GGUGGCUCAGUGGUAGAGCGCUUGCCUCAUAUGCAAGAGGGCCCUGGGUUCGAUUCCUUAGCACCA